GACCCCUUUUCUUACAUAAACCUUCCUUUUAAAAUUGUCUCCAAACCAUACUCCUCUUCAAUUUCUCUGCUGUUCUUCCUUCUCCCAGGUUCACAUCUCUCCCAUCUCCACACUAAUCCACUCCACUUACCUCUCGUAGCUGCUUAACCCACUUGGAAGCCAAGACUCUCCCAAGUUUCAUCAAAUUCCAUUCUCAAUUCUGAUUCUGGAGAAGAGGGUUGGGGCAGAAUUCUGAAAAAUUGGGGAACCUUGGUAGCAAGCUUUGAGCUAUUCUGUACAAAGCCAGAGAUUUCAGAGACCCUCUGGAGCAGGUCUUAGACGUAGCUGAUGCUGUUGAAGUCCCUGACACUGCAGCCGAGUAGUUUAGGCUGUUAGUUUUAUGUAUACAACUUAGUUCCUUUUCUUUUAUUUCAUUUUGAAAGACUUUAUGCUAUAAGUAGAGCUUACACCAUAUUUUGGAUGAUUGUAUUAUA